rnacentral:rRNA from 1 species
AACGAACGCUGGCGGCAGGCCUAACACAUGCAAGUCGAACGCCCUAGCAAUAGGGAGUGGCGCACGGGUGCGUAACGCGUGGGAAUAUGCCCUUGACUACGGAACAACACAGGGAAACUUGUGCUAAUACCGUAUAAUGUCUCCGGACCAAAGAUUUAUCGGUCAAGGAUUAGCCCGCGUUAGAUUAGCUAGUUGGUGAGGUAAUGGCUCACCAAGGCUACGAUCUAUAGCUGGUCUGAGAGGAUGAUCAGCCACACUGGGACUGAGACACGGCCCAGACUCCUACGGGAGGCAGCAGUGAGGAAUAUUGGACAAUGGGGGGCAACCCUGAUCCAGCCAUGCCGCGUGAGUGAUGAAGGCCUUCGGGUUGUAAAACUCUUUUAGACGUGACGAUGAUGACGGUAACAUCAGAAAAAGACUCCGGCUAACUUCGUGCCAGCAGCCGCGGU